UCUAAACCCUAACUCCAAAAAUUCUCUCUCUAGUUCUCACACAGCGGCGGCGGCUGUAAUUUCUCUCACAUCGGUGGUAAUCGGAGGUCAAUCAGAUGGCGUUAACGCCACCGGUGGAACAAAACCGACCACCAGAUAAGCAACAAGUUCAUUAUUCUAACAUUGAUCCACAAACAAAAGAUGAUUUCACAAAUUCGAACUUGCGGCAUGAAGAAACGAGUCAUAUUGCAAUUUCUGUGGAGGAAUUAGAAUGGGCAAGACGAGUCAUGGAUAUAGCGAAUUCUGGUUUGCUUGUAAUUAAAUUAAUGGAAGAAAGGAAAUCUACAUCACAAAAUUUGUCUUCAGCUGAAAACUUAAUAAAUUUCAUCAAUCCCACUAUGGUACUGGGUGGGAUGUUGGUAUUUUUGUUGAUCGAAUUGAUUAUCCGUCAAGUUUUAGAGUAGAAUGAAACUCCAACUACUGGAGGUCUUUCUGUUAGUAAGAAACAGGUUGAAUAAUCAAGUGAGUUUGUCGUCGGAGAUCGCAAAUCGCUAGAUGAGCGAUCUAGUUUUCGAACGAUUUCUUGUGGUGUAAAUGUGGAUUCAAAUAUUGGAGAUUAUUCUCCUUGUCAAGGCAAUCAUCAUACUGAAAAUUUACAGCAAAUGGGAGCCAGAAUAGCCCAACUCCAAAGUUCAGUUGGUGGUAAAGGAGGAACUCCAAUCGAAAUCGAAGAGGAGGAAUGUCAAGAAACGAAUCCAAGAGUUGUAGUUGUUAAAUCUACGGUAAUAUUUGGAAACCUAAUCUGUCACAACAUACUUCUACUAACCUGCAGAUUCAAGAAACAACUUCACAAAAAUAUCGAAGGAAUCUUGUUGAAGAUGCUGCGCAAUAUAUGUUACAAAUUGGAACCAGUUCAUUGUCCAAAGAUUCAGCACAAAAUACUUCAGGAACAGGUCAAGAUGCAGAGGAGUAUUUUCAGGCCUAAUCUUGAUCAACAACUGAAGCAGCAAGUUCAAGGGACUGGUGCAUUUAUACAAGGUCAUGAAUUGAUCCCAAAAUGCUAUAGCAAUGUACUGCAAGUACUAAUGAUGAACGAGUACACACAGGUAAGAUCGUUUCAACUAGCAUGGCUCCUAAUAUUAAUAGUGUGCAAUGUAUAGAUAAGGAGAACGUUGGUCUACCUGAUAUCGAUAAUGUUAAUGUGUGUGCUGCUUCUAAUCCUGCUGUUGUUGUUGACAAACUGAAAGAACAGGUAUUAAGACACGAACGCGCCAAGUAAAAGGUGGGAAUGGGGAUGGUAAUCAGCAUGCAAAUCUUGAUGAGUUCCCUCAAAUUUCAAACAAUUUUACUAGGCAAAAUACUCGGAAUAAGCAGGGUUCUCAGAAUCUAGUUCCUGUUAGAAUGUCCAAUAAUCAAAGUAGUCAACACUUCCCAGAAAAAGGUGAAGAUCAAGAACAUGUUCCCUAUACUGUUAUACAAACGUAUGAAGCUAGACAUAAAAUUAAUUUGUCUAAAACUUCUCCUCUAAUAACGUUUGAGACACCAAAGAUUUUUACGAAGCAAGACCAGCAGUUAUAUUUAGAGCUAAAGAUUUCUUGGUUAAAUGGCCCGAUAAGUGUAAAUAUACUCUAAUCGUUAAGUUUAGUUGUGCAAUGCCUAAAGUGGAACUAAUAAGGCAGAGUUUUAUCAACCAAACACAACUACACAACUAUCAGGUGGAAUUAAAAUUGCCCAUUUCAAUGCUAGACAUGUCUACAUUGAUUUGGAUAAUAAAUUAGACUUUGUAACAGUUUGGACUAAACAAAGAAUGGUUAUUGAGGGCCAGCCUAUGCGUAUUCAAACUUGGACACCUACCUUUAGACCUAUAGAGGAAACACCUAUUGUUCCAGUUUGGAUAGGUCUUUCGGAACUCCCAUGGCAUUGCUAUUAUAAGGAUAUACUUACUGCUAUGCUAUCUCCUAUUGGUAAGGUUUUAUACUUGGACAAUGCUACUGUUAAUAAAACAAGGGGAAGCAUGCAAGAGUUAGAAUCCAACUUGAUCUUAAAAAUGAAAGACCUAAGCAUGUGUGGCUUGGUUAUGAUGAAGAAGAUUUGACCAAAGGUAAGUGGCAAAGUAUUAAGUAUGAGAACUUACCUGACUAUUGUCCAUGUUGCAAACAUCAAGGCCCAUGCUGUUGCAAACAUCAAGGCCCAUCAAGGCCCAUGCUCAAGGACUGCACAACUAAAGCAACAGAUGAGGAAAUUCUAUCAAAGGAAAGAAUUGGAAGCAAUGCAAAAAAGGAAAGCCAAUACAGAACAUAAAGACAAGGAUACUUCGGGUCAUGCUGCAGUUGAAAUACAGCAGGGUAAACAGCCUGCAGAUAACACACAACAAAUGCAGCAGGUUCCAGAAUUUGUUGAUCAAGGUGAAAAAUGGCAGAAGCAAAAAACAAAACUAACUACACAGCCUGCAAGUCCUUCCCAAGACUGUAUGGAAAGCUAAAAUUCUUCAGCAGAAUACUAUGCAAGAUGUACAACAACCAGUCCAAACAGGUAUGCAAAUCAAUGGUCCUACAUCUAACAAUUUUAUUGAAUUAAAUAAGCAGGAACAGAAUACAAUAGGUCAAAUAGAGAAACACAAUGAGGAUUGUGCAACUGUUCCUCUCCAACAAACAGACCAUGUAGGCCAUGCACAAAGUGAAUUAGGUAAAAUUCAAACUAUAGAUGGUAUACCAGGGGAAUGAAAUACAAAGAAAAGGGUUGAUUGAGCAAGAAGGGGAGUGUAGCACUUCAGCUACAGUCCAGCAAUAUGACGAGGAUAACAUAUCACAUUUAACACAGUCUCCUGCAGUAAACAGAUCAAGUCAGCAGCAUGAUAAGAAAAAUCAAACAAAGAGGAAGGCAAUUCACCUCAAGAGAGUAAUAACAAAUCCAAGAAUAGGCUGAGUAAAAAAAGAAAAAAAGCUCUAAAAAAACGACAAGGGAAGGAACAGCAGGGACAAAAAGAAAGAGUUGAAGAAGACGACGAAUAUAGUCAUAUAGCUUUCGAGGAUGAGUAUGAUGAAGAUACUAGAUCCCUGGAAAGUAAUGAAGAUGAAGAGGAAGUUAAAUCCACCUUUCACACUAAAUAUAAAAAAGAUAUUCAAGAUGUUAGAGAUAAACAAGAGUUGUCACCAAGAGGAAGGAAGACAACAAAACAUAUACCAGUUCUAGGAAUAUUGGAAGGCCUCUUGCUAGAUCUAGAAGAAGAGGUCUUUAAUCUUAUUAUUCUGUUAAAAUUCAAAGUAUUCUAUGAUUGCAGGAUGUAUAAGAUUCAGGUUCUUUUAGAAACAUACUAUUUGUAAUGACUAUGUCUUUGAUAUGGUUAUUUAGAUAGAUUCUUUUACUUUCUAUAGAUUUUUCUUGUAAAGGGGAGAGUCUCCCUUGUUUAUGUAUUCUAGUAAUCCAUGUAUUAAGGAAGAGGAGUCCGUAGAUGCUUAGUUUCCUUUUGAAAUAUAAAUUGAUGUAAUAGGGUCUAGUUGAAUAACCUUAGUAGGUCGAUCAACUCAUAACCCAUCUUAGUAUCGGAGGUAUGGUCUAUGCCCCUCUAUGUACUUUUGAUGUUAAGAAAUGAUAAGGCCUGGGGGUGUUGCUCAGACCCUGACCCACCA